rnacentral:lncRNA from 1 species
GCGCUCUGCGCGCGCCGCAGGCUGUAGCCGGCCGGGGUCGCAGCACGCCUCCCCGCUCCGCCCCCUCGCGCGCCGCCCGGCGCCCCGCGCACGCGCGCCGCCCCCUGCUCCUUCAGCGAGGGUCUGCGGGGAGCGCGCGUCCAACGGUCAGCGCCCCUCAGUGCACAGUCCCAGCGGCCUCGCUGGGCCGGCGCCUCCCGACCAACAGGUAAUGAUGAAACUCCUGCUCUGGUCCGGGCUACCGGUGAACAGCGCCCAGCGGGCCGGGCCCCCAACCUCGCUCCUGAGCCUGAACAUCCCCCCAACCCCACCGUGAGAAUUCAGCGAAGAGUAAAAGCUGGAAAAAGUUGCGUGUCUUAGGCUAAGCAGAACAAAGUGGGGUGACGGCUCCCCGGCUAGGAACAGAGAUGCCCUUAGGGAGCCCUCUGAUGGAAGAGCUCUCCGCUUAAGAAGGUCACCACUCCCUUACACUCAGCCCCCCUCAAUCUGAUUCCCUGCUAUGCCUGCCAUCACCACUGGCCAGUUUUACCACAUGCUUCUCAAGACCCAAGGCACAAUAGGCAUAAAGUUGUCCUGAAAAGGACAAGAGGAGUGUCAGAAGUAGGAAUGGCAGUUGAAGGAGCUUCGUCUGCCAGCAGAAAGCUGAAAUGACAGGCAAGCACAAAAUAUAUUAAGGAGACAAAGCUAUGCAUGAGCGAAAUAUCAAACUUUCAUCUUCUACCCACUUUUUUUUUUUUUUUUUGCUUAAAAACAGGAAGACAGAAUGUCUUGUCAAGGGUCACCCCAGGAGGAGGAGUAAAUUCCCCAAAAAGCGGAACAUAUUUUUAUGAUUUAAUUAAUACAAUUUCUCUCAAUG